rnacentral:rRNA from 1 species
AAGGGCAGGUUUCCCACGUGUUACUCACCCGUCCGCCACUCACUCAAAUGUAAAUCAUGAUGCAAGCACCAAUCAAUCCAGAGUUCGUUCGACUUGCAUGUAUUAGGCACGCCGCCAGCGUUCGUCCUGAGCCAGGAUCAAACUCUGAGGCAUCC